CAAUAGCGUAUAUUAAAGUUGUUGCAGUUAAAAAGCUCGUAGUUGGAUUUCUGGUAGGAGUGACCGUUCCGCACUUGAUUGUUCGUGUAUUGUGUUUUCUCCAGCCAUCCUUGUGGAGAACUUUUCUUGCAUUAAUUUGUAGGGAUUGGGACCCGCAUCGUUUACUGUGAAAAAAUUAGAGUGUUUAAAGCAGGCAAUCGCUUGAAUACAUUAGCAUGGAAUAAUAAGAUAGGACUUUGGUACUAUUUUGUUGGUUUGCAUACCAAAUUAAUGAUCAACAGGAACAGUUUGAGGAUAUUCGUAUGAACAUGUCAGAGGUGAAAUUCUUGGAUUUUGAUCAGACGAACUACUGCGAAAGCAUUUAUCAAGGAUGUUUUCAUUAA
rnacentral:rRNA from 1 species